rnacentral:rRNA from 1 species
GACAGAGGGUGCAAACGUUGUUCGGAAUUACUGGGCGUAAAGCGCGUGUAGGCGGCUCUGCAAGUCGGGUGUGAAAUCCCACGGCUCAACCAUGGAAGUGCACUCGAAACUGCAGGGCUAGAGUCCUGGAGAGGAAGGUGGAAUGCUUGGUGUAGAGGUGAAAUUCGUAGAUAUCAAGCGGAACACCGGUGGCGAAGGCGGCCUUCUGGACAGUGACUGACGCUGAGACGGCGAAAAGCGUGGGGAGCAAACAGG